CCAUCCAAAUUAAUAUCCACCAUUAGAGCCACUUAAACUCACAAAAUAAACUGCUAUGGUGGCAGUUCUCAGCAGUUUCUUCUGCCUUCAACCCACGUCUUACUAGCAGUUCCCUUUUCUACGUCUUCAACCCACAUCUUACUAGCAUUUAUUGAUAAAAUUAUUCAGUUCCCUUUAAAAUCCUCACUCCCUUGAAACAACCCCACUCACCUCUCUUUCUCUACGCUCACAUAUUGCAAAAUAGGGAAGAAGCAGAGAUAAGAUUUGGCAAGAGAAUAAAUUAGGGCAUCAUGAUGACGACGUCUCCUUCAUAAACUCAAGCCCUCAAACGAUCCCCAACGCUCUCUAAUGUAGUGAUGUUUCCAAGAUUUCUCCAUUUUUGUCGGAUCUGAAUAUUCUUCGAUGGAAGCACACGACGUCAGUUUCCGCCAUGUUCUGGUUUUGCGUCGCUGUAAGAAAGGUUUAAUGAUAUAGUUGGAACUUGGAAGUGCAUAUUAUGUCGCACCAUUAAAGUUCUGCAUAGAUCAUACAGCUUGGAAGCAGAUAUAUGGAGUGUUGGGGUUAUUAAGUGAAUACCAUUUUGGGCAAGCAUAGAAGCAUGAAUAUUUUGUGCGGUUUUGAGGGCAGACCUAAUUUUGAUGAUAUAUCGUGGUCUUCUGUAUCACCAGAAACUCAGAAAGUAAAGAUUUUGUUAAAAAGGCUUCUAAUUGAGGACUAUAAAAAAGAAUGAGUGCUGCUCAAUCUCUCCACAUAAGUUUAGUUCCAGUCGCAUGUGGGAUGACAGCUCAUCCAUGGUUUUCAAUUGAGAGUCAUCCAAUUCCUUUAGAUAUAUUGAUUUACAAACCACCAUUCAAACUGAUGCACUCAAGGUACUUUCAAAAGCUCUGAUAGAGAAUGAAUUCAUUUAUCUUAGAUCCCAAUUUAUGCUUUUAGAACCAAACAAAGGUGAGAUGGGCACGUGUAUCUCUUGACAACUUCAGAAUGGUAAAUGUUAUAAAUUACCAAACCAGGCCUAAUUCAAAAGACUUCAUUCAAGUUGAUGGGGCUAAAUCCUUUGCAGUUAUCAUGGACUUUUGAAAAAGCAGGUGCAAAGCUAGAGCGGCGAUGGAAAUUUAGACCAACUGAGAAUAAGAGGAAGAAAGCUGUCUCAUGAUGGAUGCUAAACCACGCCUAAGUGUAAGAGUGACUUACAUAUCAAAGGAUUCAGAUCUAAGUUUUCAUUUUUAAUAAAGGAAAGUCAAAGGUAUUUUGAAGCCUACUGGGAAUUCUGCUCGUGGCAUGAUGCAUGAGGUUUCAUGUAAAGGGUCUAAUAAAGGAAGAGACACAUGUUUGGUUGUGCAGCCAGACUCUUCUGGCGAGGUUGGACCCCCUGGAUACCGACUUGAUGAAGUGAGUCCAAAUGAGCCUGGUCAGAUGGAUUUAGGUGAUGUUAUGAGUCAUGUGAACCCAACCGGUGAAGUCAAUGUGAAUGAUCCAGAUAACUUUAGAAUAAAUGGUGAGGAUUCAGAUGCAGUUAGCUAAAGCCGAAGUUGAUGAUCUCAGAACGGGCCAGGACCCAUGUUUACAGAUCACUGAUAAUUUCUUUUUGAAUUUGUUUUGAUUUGGUAUGCUUUUAGGACAUUUAUUUUUGCUGAAAAUGGUUUGAGAUAACUGAUGCUUACUGCCAUUUUGUUCAAAUGCAUUGC
rnacentral:lncRNA from 1 species